AGAAUAGAAACAAAUUUUGUUGGACAAGUUCUUUUACUAUAAAAAUCUAAAAUAUUGUUUUUUUUUUCUUCUAAAAGUGACGUCAUUAAAGAUCAGACCCUCUUCAGUAUUUUAGGGUCAACACAUUUCAUACAUUGUGUUAAUGAUUUCACAACAUUAUUGCACAACGUAUUUUAAUAGUGGAUUGCACAAGUUUUAUUCACCGCGACUAGAGGUAUUAUCAUACCGUCCGCAUGCGAUACAGAGUUCGCACAAAUAUCUUCGCUCUAAAUGAGGAUACUUGACUUUUUUGAGAAUAAUUUAUCCCGCGAGAUUACUAUUUUAGUGCUGUUUUUUGUUAAGUUAUAAAAAUCAUAGGUAAUUGUCGUUGGAAUUUGGGUACGGUUAUAAUAGUUUUGAAAUUGGUGUUUUAUGUAAAUGUAGUGUAUUUAACUAAACAUGACAAAUCACCCGGGCUUGGUUGCCAGGGUGAAUCUAUGUUAACUACAUUAUUAACUAAAUGUCAAUUGAUAAUUAUCUAUGCCUGUGUUUUAAGUGAAGUGUGUAGAAGUGUUCAGAUACCGGGUUCCAAGCCAAGGUCCACCAUACCUGACAUAACUGCUCUGCGGCACAGGCGCAUCAGAAUGGGUCAUGGUGGUGGGGUCCAGCUCGAACAGCGUGGCGAUCUCCGACGAGUGAGGCACGGAGACCAGCUGGAAGGCCGGCUCGUAUGGAUCCACUGGUGCUUCACUGGUGAUUACAGGUAAAGGGGGUUACAUGUAGGUCAUUAUGUCACUCAUAUUUGGUGUGGCGAGCACACAGCAAAAGGCAAAGAAAAUUGCUGAUAUCAUAAAGCGUCACCCUGCUUGUGUUCGGCAGAUGGGUGUUUAUUAACCUCAGGGAGAGCUAAGAUACAAAAGGUAUUCUCGAGUUUUACUUUCGUUAUUCAUUAGCCAAUACAUACAUAUGAGUUUAGAAUAUAUGCUUCGCGCGGGGCUA